CUGUGUCAGUGAUGAGAAAGUGGAUCUUCUGCGUCAGGCAUGGCGCCCGAGCUCAAUGAGGAUACACUUCCAUGCUGCCUUCCUUCUGAGACGUUG